rnacentral:rRNA from 1 species
GUGUGAACUGCAGGACACAUGAACAUCGACAUUUUGACGCACAUUGCGGUCCAUGCAAA